UGGUUACUCAUCCGUGAUGUGGGACUCUGAACUCUUCCCAGCUGAUAUGAGGAACACGCUCCACCACCUUGUUAGCCUCUUUGAAGCAGUCCCGAGGGUUCCCCUAGGCUCCGUGUCUUAGAUCAUGAUCCUAGAGCAUCUCCUCUGUUCUUAUGAAUAAUGAGAAACAGCAGAAGAAUCAGGGCCGCCACCUUCCCUGUCCUCAGAAUAAUGAUGCACCGUACGCCAGCUGUCCACACCAAGCAGAGCAUGUGGAUUAGCUGAGUCAGAGCGAUGCAGGAGGGCUUCCAUAGCAGACUGUGGGCUUGGCUGACUUUGAUCUAUUCUGGACACUAUGCUGACUCAGCGCUGAUGAUGGAAGGCCGCAGAUGAAAAGCCUGGGAGACCAAAUAUUCAUACAGGAGGCUCAAGAGUCCCAGUGGUCCCCACAGCCUCAUGGGAAGGACUGGGAGGAAUGAGAGUUGGUGUGGACCCUGGCAUCAGUUACGGGAGUCUGGCACUGGAGGACCUGGCUAGACAGCAGUUCCUGGGAAGCUGGUGUGGGACUGCUAGGUGGUCCCAAGUUUAAUUUGAGCCAGACACACAGGGCUGGCAAGGAACACAAGACCCUGGUCUGCAGGAGAUGCCUGUGGGCUCUGAGGACGGGAGAGCAGAAAGCGGCUUUAAAUGAGCUAGGCAGAGCACAUUUGGAAGAUGGAUGUCAGUUGUGGAGACUGUUCUUGGUGGGGAUACUUCCAGUGCUUCAGGGGCUAAGGAGGAAGUGCAUGGAGGGACUGCCCUGGGAAACCAUGGCAUCAUGAGGAAUGCUAGAGGACCCAGGGAUGGUUCCCAGGAAAAGAGAUGACCACAAGGAAGAAAGGGACUAUUAUGGAUUUCUUCCCGCGUAAUCCAGAUGUCUAGGUAAUUAGGAGCACUUGCUGUUCUUGCAGAGGACCAGAGUUCAGUUCCUAUCACAACAGCCUGUAACUCCAGCUCCAGGGGAUCUGGUGCCUUCCUCUGGUCCCUUUGGGUUCCAGCACACAUGUGUGUAUACACACAGAGAGACAUGCAUGCAACACAUAAACAAAUAUUAAUUAUUGGAUAUCUCAGGGAGUAGGAGAGAAUCUCUUAGCACAUUUGAAGGCAUGGUGGUGGAUGGUGCUCACCACUGAGUAUUGCUUCAAGAAGCAGGGGUGCAGCUGAAUGGCAAUGGGUAGCUAAGAAGCCUUGGCCUUUGGAAACAUUUGAGAUUAAUGGACAUGAGAACCUGGACAUCUUUCCUUGCAACCCUAGACUCUGCUUUGUGACAGAGCAGAGGAAGAACAAGAAAAAAAGAAAAGAAAUUGCCAAAUUGCCAGAAACAGUAUUUUUAAAUAUCGAGCAAUCAUUAUCUCGAAGCUCUAGAGGUCAGAGUGGGUCUCACGGGGCUGCACUCAGGCUUGGGGCUGGUUUCUAUUGGACAUCAGGGGAGAGUCCUCCUCACUGCCAUUCCUGGCCCUAGACGUCUUUGGCUGUCUCUUUGUCUGGCCCCAUCUCCCACCUUACCUCUGUGUGCAAGGCUGCAGAUCUCUGACUGUUUCCCCUGGAGCUGUGGGGGCAUUCACUGGGGACCUGGGAUCAUAGCGUCCUCCUUGUGGUGUUAUAAUUGAAUAGGAGACUGGGUGACUUACAAAAAACAAAUGUAUUUGACUCAUGGAGCUGGAGGCUGGGAAGUCCAAGGGCAUGGUAUAGCUCAUGAGGAGGGUCUUCCCACUGUACCCUCCCAUGGAGAAGGAGAAAGGGGCAGCAGGGGUGUGAGAAAAGCAAGACACAGCUCACUUUUUUAAAAAAGUUGCCGGAUAAUAGUGGUGCACACCUUUAAUCCCAGUCCAUGUGAGACAGAGACAGGCGGAUCUCUGUGAGUUUGAGGCCAGCUUGGUCUACAGAGUGAGUUCCAGGACAGGCUCCAAAGCUACACAGAGAAACCCUGUCUUGAAAAACCAAGAAAAAAAGUUUUAGGCUGGAUGUCGUGGUGCAUGCCUUUAAAACUAGCUCUAGUGAGGCUGUGGCAGGUGGAUCUCUGAGUUUGAGGCCAGCCUGGUCUACAUGGCCAGGGGCCAGAGACCUCACAAUGUACAGAACAGCCACUGCAGCAAAGAACGACGGGACGUGGAGUGCUCCUGGCAUAGAGCAGAGAUGCUGCACUCUCUCUGCCUAGAGAUGCAGGUGUGCGCACACAGGAGCCCACAAGCACUUCCGCUCUGCCGAUGGUGGGGGCACAGGCUUCCACAUCUCAUCCUUUCCAUGUGCCUGCCCAUGGAGACGGCUUUGCGUCGCGCGCAUGAGCGGAGCAUCUCCAGCCUCCAGACGCCGUUCUCUGGGCUUGGAUCACUGACUGGCUCAUUCUUCGGCUGAUGGACACUCAGGUCGUUUCUAGCUUCUGCACACAAGGUCCCAGGACAAUGCUUGUCCACAGCUUGGAGAACCCAUGGCGGACAGCUGGUGUGUCUGUCUGCUAACUCCUUCUAGUAGACUAGCUAGGUCAAAGUGGACAAGAGUUCAGGAUGCUCGCAGGUGUUGCCAAAGGCCUUCUGAAGAUACUCAUCGCGCACUCCCAUCUCCCACCAGCCUGUCAACAGGAUGCUUCUGUUCUAUUUGAAAACAAGGGUAAUUCAUAAGCGUUCAUUUUCCAGAAAACAGAAAUUGGGAUAAAGACCCCCGAGUGUCCAGUGUCAGAGGUGUUCUCUGUAAUCAGAGGGACAGAGACAAACCAACGUACAAUGUGUGUCUUGGAGUUGGCCUAGCACAGCCUCAAGGAUUCUUUGAGUUUUCAUGCAGGCCUGGGGGACGUCCAGUCUUCUUCCUCCUCCAAUUCUUCUCCUCUUAGGCAUUUACUCUUCCUUCUUGCCCUCCUCCUCCUACUUCCUCAUAGGGUUUGUACAGCCCCAAACUGACCUUGAACUGACUGGGCAGUUGAGCGUGACCUUGAACUUUUGAUCCUCCUGUCUCUGCUUUCCAAAAGUUGUGUAUUGGCUAGCUUUAUGUCAAUUUGACACAAGCUAGAGUUGUCCGAAAGGGGCGAACUUCAACUGAGAAAAUGCCUCCAUGAGAUCCAGCUGCAGGGCACUUUUUUUGUAAUCAGUAGGGGAGUACCCAGUCCAUUGUGGGUGGGGCCAUCCCCGGGCUGGUGGUCCUGGGUUCUAUAAGAGAGCAGGCUGAGCAAGCCAGGGGAAGCAAGCCAGUAAGCAGCACCCCUCCACCGCCUCUGUGUCAGCUCCUGCCUCCUGGUUCCUGUCUUGCUUGAGUUCCUGUCCUGACUUCUUUUGAUGAUGAGCAGUGAUACAGAAGUGUAAGUCAAAUAAGUUCUUUCCUCUCUAAGUUGCUUUGGUCAUGGUGUUUCAAUUAAAGCAAUAGGAACCCUAACUAAGUCGAGUUGGAUCACCAAUUCUAUUUUUAAAAAACCUUUUCUUUUUAAAUGCUUUAGCUCCCAUUUUAAAAUACUAGUAAUAAAUCCUGUAUUAUUUUAUUUGGUGUUGUAGC
rnacentral:lncRNA from 1 species